AUUGAACGCUGGCGGCGUGCUUAACACAUGCAAGUCGAGCGGUAACAGGCGUAGCAAUACGUGCUGACGAGCGGCGAACGGGUGCGUAAUACAUGGGAAUCUGCCCUUUAGUGGGGAAUAACCCGGCGAAAGCCGGGCUAAUGCCGCAUAAGAUCUUCGGAUGAAAGCGGGGGAUCGUAAGACCUCGCGCUGAUGGAUGAGCCCAUGUCGGAUUAGCUAGUUGGUGAGGUAACGGCUCACCAAGGCGACGAUCCGUAGCGGGUCUGAGAGGACGGCCAGCCAAAGUGGGACUGAGACACGGCCCAGACUCCUACGGGAGGCAACAGUGGGGAAUAUUGGACAAUGGGGGAAACCCUGAUCCAGCGACGCCGCGUGUGUGAAGAAGGCCUGCGGGUUGUAAAGCACUUUCGGUGGGAACGAAAUGUGCCGGGCUAAUACCCCGGCAAGCUGACGUUACUCAAUGAAGAAGCACCGGCUAACUCUGUGCCAGCAGCCGCCGUAACAC
rnacentral:rRNA from 1 species